rnacentral:lncRNA from 10 species
UGAGUGGGUGCCCUGAGGGCGGUCAAGGACCCCGCGGGCCUCUUCUCCUGCCUGGACACUGCGCUUGCCUGGCUAUCACCAGUCCCAGCCCUGCCGCCCUGGGGAGAGGGAGAAGGCGUGCAGGUGACCUGGCUGCAAAAGUCUGGAGGCUGCACCAGCAGAUGUCUUGUUCCGCAGCCUGAGGUGUCUGAGUCCCAGGAACCAGGGCUGUGGGUACACAGCCUUGUCCAGAGAGCUCACGUCUCAGCUCCCACCACCCCUUCUAAUACCCACAGCAGCACCUGGAGUUGGGGCCUGGGCAGGAAUCCAGUCUACCAGAAAAGAAAUGAGCGCAGGCUGAGCGCCAUGUGCGAGGCUCCCAGGCUGGCUUCUGCCACGUGCUUCCCAUUGUACAGACAGCCUCCAAGGGGUGGAGGGGCUUGCCUGGCUCCCACAGCUCCAGCGCCAAAGGCUGUGCCUCUGCUGUGGGGACAGUACCCAGGAUCCUGGGAAGGAAAAAAGCCACUGCUCACCUCCCUCUGCCCCUCAUACCUGUCCCAGCCCCGAGUCUUCGUAAAUGUCUCUGUCUCCACUGCCUGAGUUCAAGCCUGCUGUCCUUGCCACCUCUACCCCUCACCCCCAUGUCCCCGACUCUAAUCCAGCCCCUUCAGCUGCCAUAGGUCAGCUUCUCCAGAAGCCUUAUUAGGGACAGUAUCAGUCUGCUCGGGUUACUGUAGCAAAUACCACAGACUGGGUAGCUUAAACAUUUGGGAGGCCAGAUACGUGAGAUCAAAGCAUUUCCAAAGUUGGUUCCUUC